AUUCAUUAAAAUAAAUGAGAAUUGAUCAUUUUUCUUAUUUUCAGGUAUUGUUCUUUAUGUACAUCAUGUGCAAAUGAAAGCAAUCCCAGCUAAGAAAAAUGGAUACAUCAUUAAAAAGAUAAACAGAGUUACAUGUUAAUAAAUCAGAGGGAAGUGGAAUGUAUAAGAGCAAUCUCAUGCAGAUUCAGAUCUAACCCUUAAAGAGUUCUGGAAGGAAUACUGCAACAUCAUUUCCUGUGCUGGAUUAAUUGAGAGAUCCUGGGACAUUGUCUCUGUAAGGACACCGAGAUCCGUCUGUAUAAAGGAGAGAAACUUUGAAGGCUGUGUAGAGGAGCCUGAGCCUUUAACUGACCAACCUGAGUUACAACCAGCCCUCAAGAAUGAAUUGAGUUCAUCAGUCAAGGCUCCACUUUAUUUAUUAUCAUUUGUUAUCACAGUCCUUCAUUAAACGUGUGGUAUAGUUUCCAAAUACAUAGAACACAUGUGGAAGCUGUUUGUUGAAUUGAAAAAAAAAAAUCAAUUCAGGGAGAGGUUAACCAGUGAGUUAUAUAAAUUUGAUUUAAUUCUACAAGCAUAUUUUGGAC
rnacentral:lncRNA from 1 species